rnacentral:rRNA from 1 species
AGCCCACUAGCUAGCUCACACCCUAAAGCACAACAACCCCUUAUUAAUAAACCCCCAUUACCUAGUAAUAGACCAAACAAACCAUUUUUCCUCCCAAGUAUGGGCGACAGAAAAGGACUACACCGAAGCAAUAGUAACAGUACCGCAAGGGAACGCUGAAAGAGAAAUGAAACAAAGCAGUAAAGCAUAGAAAAGCAGAGCUUAGCCCUCGUACCUUUUGCAUCAUGAUUUAGCAAGAAAUCAUCAAGCAAAGAGCAUUUUAGUUUGAUACCCCGAAACCAAGUGAGCUACUCCAAGACAGCCAGUAGGGCGAACCCGUCUCUGUGGCAAAAGAGUGGGAAGAGCUUUGAGUAGAGGUGACAGACCUACCGAACUUGGUUAUAGCUGGUUAUCCAGGAAGUGAAUAGGAGUUCAGCCUUUUGUCCUCUACCCCCACACCUGGCCACGCCCUCAAGCGUCCAAGAGGACAAAAGAGUUAGUCAAAGGGGGUACAGCCCCUUUGAAAAAGAUACAACUUUCCCAGAAGGGUUAAGAUCAUAACUCCAACCAAGGAAACGUGUUCUAGUUGGCCUAAAAGCAGCCACCCACACAGAAAGCGUUAAAGCUCAUACACCUUCCCCCCCCCCCCAUUAUACGGACUACAACAUCUUAUCCCCCUAUAGAUACUGGAUCUUUUCAUACCCCUUAUGAAAGAGAUCAUGCUAAUAUGAGUAAUAAGAGGCCCUGACCCUCUCCAAGCACAAGUAUACAUCGGAACGAACCAACACCGACAAUUAACGGCCCCAAAAGAAGAGGACACUGGAAUAUAAUGGCCAGGCCACAAGAAAAACAUCCACCCCUCCCCCGUUAACCUUACACCAGAGUGCAAACAAGGAAAGACUAAAAGAGAAAGAAGGAACUCGGCA